rnacentral:rRNA from 1 species
GUGUCAGCCGCCGCGGUAAGACGUAGGGGGCCAGCGUUGUUCGGAAUUACUGGGUGUAAAGGGUUCGUAGGCGGUGCGGCAAGUCGGGAGUGAAAUCUCUGGGCUCAACCCAGAGGCUGCUUCCGAAACUGCUGUGCUUGAGUGUGGGAGAGGCGCGUGGAAUUGCAGGUGUAGCGGUGAAAUGCGUAGAUAUCUGCAGGAACACCCGUGGCGAAAGCGGCGCGCUGGACCACUACUGACGCUGAAGAACGAAAGCUAGGGGAGCAAACAGGAUUAGAAACCCCCGUAGUCC